ACCGUCAACACUUUGGCAAUGUACGGGAUCAGAGGCAGAUUCAGGAUCAGCAGCACCAGAUUGCCGAUAAACAUCGACAUGAUGACCGCCCAGAAGAUCUGCGGAUCGUCGAUCAUCAGGCGCGGCCC
rnacentral:ncRNA from 1 species